rnacentral:rRNA from 1 species
GCUUGUCUCAAAGAUUAAGCCAUGCAUGUCUAAGUAUAAACAAAUCUAUACUGUGAAACUGCGAAUGGCUCAUUAUAUCAGUUAUAGUUUAUUUGAUGGUUCUUGCUACUUGGAUAACCGUAGUAAUUCUAGAGCUAAUACAUGCAUCAAACCCCGACUCACGAAGGGGUGUAUUUAUUAGAUUUAAAGCCGACAUCUUUUGGUGAUUCAUAAUAACUUUCGGAUCGAUCUUCGGAUCGAUGCAUCAUUCAAGUUUCUGCCCUAUCAGCUUUGGAUGGUAGGGUAUUGGCCUACCAUGGCUUUAACGGGUAACGGAGAAUUAGGGUUCGAUUCCGGAGAGGGAGCCUGAGAAAUGGCUACCACAUCCAAGGAAGGCAGCAGG